rnacentral:lncRNA from 11 species
UGUAUUUUGCCAAACAGAUUUCUUCCUGUUAUAGCUUUAGAUAGCAAUCAUUUGUCACUGGAGUGAAACUGGAGCAACCAGGAAAACCAAUCAAGAAAUCCUACCUCUUGACUCCUGAUUAAAGUGAUUUGGACUGACUUCUGCUUCAUGUGGAAAUAAACCCUUUCAUCAAAGAAACUCUCCACAGACCAACAGCUGAUUCCUUGUGGACCAACACUGAUCCAGAGACCACUGCUUUAAGCAGCAGUAGUGCAAAGCAUGAAAUGCUCUAAAAGAUUGUCAUUUUAGGGUAGAAAAAACUUUGGUUAA